CACGGACGAGGAUCCUCUGCCGUUCGGCAGGGUGCCGUUCGACCACUGACUGAUGGACCCAUCGGGGACAGGCCCACAUGGCAGCGCCACAACGGCAGGAGCCGCACGUCAGGGGAGCCGCUUCCCUCGCCCACACGCCCAUCCCUCCCUGCCUCCUCGAUCUCUCUCCCUCAUCAGCCGCAAUGGCACGAAGCAACAAACCCUAGCCCCCUUUCCCACGGCUGUUGCGCCCCGACCCCUUCCUCCACCCCCCUCCCCGAUCCCCAUGGUCGCCGUCCCUCUCACUCCUCCUGCCUCAUCAAGACAGCCACCACGUCCAUCCCUCCUUAGGCGCCAUGGCGGCGGUCGGGCCGGAGCGGGGGCGGAAAGCCGUAGGGAGUCCGCCUGCAGGAGGAAGCAGUAUAGGGGCUGAUGGAGCGACGGAUGCGAUCCACCGCCUCCUAGGUGCUCAUCCGCCCUGGCUCGUGAGGAAGCAGCGGGACGAGGGAUGAGCUCAACUGGGCGCAUCGGAGAAAGAGGGAAGGAGCGGAUACCAGCCAGGAGGCUGCUCGGCUCAGUCCAGCCAUGGAGCUGGCGCUGCGGACUCCCUGCUAGCCUCCUUCAUCUUCAUGUGGAUUUAGGUGGCACACUAGAUGUUGCACCACCGAUGGCAGCAGCCAGAUUUGGCGUUCGUGAUGCAAUGGCUUGGUGUUGCCCUUGCUUGAUGGUGCUGGAUAUGUCAAUAAACUGAUCGUGGAUUAUCUCCAACUGGGUACUUACCUCUCUCGCUCUCAAUGGUGACGCAGAUCUCCUUUUGAUCGAUAUGCCAUUGUUUCGUGCAGCCGGUUGAGGUAUGUAAUGCGCAGUUCAGGGGCAUAAUUAUGAUUGAGCACCAAAAUGAGACCUGAAUCCAACUUCUUACAGAUAUAUUAAGUUCGGGUGUGCUUGUGCAGAUAGUCGAUGGGGCUCUUGGCCUUCUAGCUAUAGACUGAUUGACAAGCAUGGUUCAUUGUUAUUUCCUUCCUUUAAUAGUAUUGUAAGGGAAGCAGGUUCUCCAAAUAAAUGUGGAAGAUUGCAGCAUGAAGGGUAUCACUUCACCGGAUUUUUCUACUUCUUGGUGGGCAGCUAAAUUAGUUUCCUUGGUCCGUUUCUCAACUUAUCAUAGAAGAACUCUUUAUCUCUGUAAUUUUCUCUUUAUUAGCGCUGAAGGCAUAGAUCAAGUGCUACAUGGCUAUGCUCUUAGGAGCUUAGAGCAUCAGUGGUUGGCCUCCUUUCUAUUUGUUAUUUUUUCUAGGAUUUGCGUGUGUUAAUCGGAUGAAUAUAUGGAAGGAUACAGAGAGGCCAGAGGUAUAUAUUCUUCUACCAAUAAAAAUCAUUCCAUUCUUUUCUUCACUCGAUUAAAAUAAUUUGGUCGAUCGUAGGAAGUUCCACUAUUUAUGUGUACUGCUCUCAAUAAAACAUAGGCUAGAAAAGUUCCCUUCAGUAUGCAUUCUCAUGUUAUUAAAACAUUUUUGUGGUGCAGUCUGUUAGGCAAACUCUGUUUUCCAGUCAACAGUUUUUACCUGCUUUUCAAUGCAUGUAAUACUGCUGACUUCUCUUCAAGUCCUAGCUGGUUUGUGUGCAUUUUAUGGUUCAGUGUAUCAUUGCAAGAGUUUAUGGUUCAGUGUAUCACUGCAUGUUCCUAACACCGACAAAUUUUAAUGUUUUUUGUAUUUUUUUCGAUGCAAGCCUAUUCUUCGACUAUAAGACAAUAGAGAUUUCCUAUUAAGUCUAAUCUUUUUUGGGUGCAUUACAGAGUUUGCUAUCAAAUUCUAAAGCAGCAAGAAGAUAGCCAGCCUAAAUUAAUCAAGACAUGAACAAGUGUCGAGAAGUUACGGAUGCAGAAGUGCAACUGGUAUCGCCUCUAUUUUUUUGUCUCAAAUCAACCGCAGAAAAAACUACUGGAUAAUCAUCUUGCCACUUUAUAAUUGGCUUACUGCUAUGAUCCUGGUGUUAUUUGCUAUGAGAAAAACGAGAGGUUCAAUGUGCGCCUCAUAUCAUCACAUCAAAUGGAAUAAUUGGAUAGGCUUAUAUAUCAUCAUAUCUGCACACAUAAUCUCUUCUAUGAUUGUUUACCUCUUCAGUCUACUAUUCUUAGAUGAUGAACUUCUGCUCUUUUAUGCCAAGUAGUUAAAUUUGUGUGCAUGUUCUCAUGGAUCAUACUUAGAUUUUGCAACUGUGGCCCAUAGGGCCAUGCUAAUUAGUCCUGGCCAUGAUCAGGAGUAAAUUUAUACAAAUUUUAAUUUGCAUGGUAUUUUGUCCAGCACCGAAGGCACCAAUGGUGCUAUUGUUAUGCUUAUUUUUCACUUGAUAAGAAAAUAUACGUACGAAAUCUGCUUGAAGUUGUAACUGUAACUGUACGUCUGCAUUGGAUAAUUUCUUGGACUCGUGUACAGUAGCUUGCAGGAUCUUUUCAGAAGCAGCCCAUAGGAAGUAUAAUCAGGCAUCUUCAGCUGCAAAAGUUUCAUUCAGCAGGCUUUUCCAUGUUGCUAUAUCUGGAUGGUCCGAGUUUCAAAAGAUUUUCUUAGAGACGUUAGUUGGUGCAGCCGAGGUCAAGACCCUCAAGGGUGCCCUUGCCCAAGCUAGGAAGGUGGCAGAGGCAAACAAGGCAGCUGCUGACAAAGCGGCUGCAGAGCUGGAGGCCGAGCAAACUGCCCGCCCCCAACAUGAAGCUCGGUGGCCGAAGUCAAGCAGGAGCUGAAGGAUGCCAUCAGCAAAUGCUAGACCUUGUAGCAGAACAUUUCGGACCAGUUGUCUGAGGUUGGCAAGGCUCUCCAUGAUGCCAAAGAGGCGCAGAUCGAGUCUCGGAGUCCUCGCGAGGAGAUCCAGCAAGCGAGAGAGAUAGCGACUGGAGCGUCACCGAUGCCGCACAGUUCUUUUGAGCCUAGGAGGGGAACUCGACCAAGAAGCUGUUUUGGUCGCAAUUCCUCGCGUCGGAGCACCCAACGCCUCUGAACGACUAGCUGAAGCAGCUGACAGAGCUGCAUAGGGUGGCCGACUUGUCCGUAAGGAUCUAGUACUCCAACUCUGGCAGGCCGAGCCUAUUCCCAACAGCUCCUUCGGCCUAGUGAAAUGGCUUGUCGAUGUGUGGCCGUGGAUUGAUGCGAUAAAGCGUUCGGCUUGCAUAGAGGGUGCCUAGAUGGCCUUUGCUCGCGUGAAGAUGCAAUGGGCGAAGACGAAGGCCACCGAAGUGGCGACCGCGGGUCUGCCCGAAGGCAAAGAUCAUCAGAAGUCUGAGAGGUACUUCGAUGACGUCCUAGAAGGAGCCCGAGUAGUAGAGGGCCAAUGUUCGAAGGACGUGAUAUUUGAUUGAAUGUGUUUGGGUUGUACAAACCAUGUUAUGAACUCGUGCUGUGAGAUAUCUAUGCUUGUGCCUAUUG